rnacentral:rRNA from 1 species
AUUGAACGCUGGCGGCAUGCUUUACACAUGCAAGUCGAACGGCAGCGGGGGCUUCGGCCUGCCGGCGAGUGGCGAACGGGUGAGUAAUGCAUCUGAACGUGCCCAUGUCGUGGGGGAUAACGUAGCGAAAGCUACGCUAAUACCGCAUACGCCCUGAGGGGGAAAGCGGGGGAUUCUUCGGAACCUCGCGCGAUUGGAGCGGCCGAUGUCGGAUUAGCUAGUAGGUGAGGUAAAGGCUCACCUAGGCGACGAUCCGUAGCGGGUCUGAGAGGAUGAUCCGCCACACUGGGACUGAGACACGGCCCAGACUCCUACGGGAGGCAGCAGUGGGGAAUUUUGGACAAUGGGCGCAAGCCUGAUCCAGCCAUGCCGCGUGAGUGAAGAAGGCC